rnacentral:rRNA from 1 species
UACGUAGGGUGCGAGCGUUAAUCGGAAUUACUGGGCGUAAAGCGUGCGCAGGCGGUUUGCUAAGACAGGUGUGAAAUCCCCGGGCUUAACCUGGGAACUGCGCUUGUUACUGGCAAGCUUGAGUGUGGCAGAGGGGGGUGGAAUUCCACGUGUAGCAGUGAAAUGCGUAGAGAUGUGGAGGAACACCGAUGGCGAAGGCAGCCCCCUGGGCUAACACUGACGCUCAUGCACGAAAGCGUGGGGAGCAAACAGG